rnacentral:rRNA from 1 species
AACGAACGCUGGCGGCAUGCCUAACACAUGCAAGUCGAACGAGACCUUCGGGUCUAGUGGCGCACGGGUGCGUAACGCGUGGGAACCUGCCCUUAGGUUCGGAAUAACUCCCCGAAAGGGGUGCUAAUACCGGAUAAUGUCUUCGGACCAAAGAUUUAUCGCCUUUGGAUGGGCCCGCGUUGGAUUAGCUAGUUGGUAGGGUAAAAGCCUACCAAGGCGACGAUCCAUAGCUGGUCUGAGAGGAUGAUCAGCCACACUGGGACUGAGACACGGCCCAGACUCCUACGGGAGGCAGCAGUGGGGAAUAUUGGACAAUGAGCGAAAGCCUGAUCCAGCCAUGCCGCGUGAGUGAUGAAGGCCUUAGGGUUGUAAAGCUCUUUUACACGGGAUGAUAAUGACAGUACCGGGAGAAUAAGCUCCGGCUAACUCCGUG